rnacentral:rRNA from 1 species
CUGGGGAGUACGGUCGCAAGAUUAAAACUCAAAGGAAUUGACGGGGACCCGCACAAGCGGUGGAUGAUGUGGAUUAAUUCGAUGCAACGCGAAAAACCUUACCUACCCUUGACAUGGCUGGAAUCCUCGAGAGAUUGAGGAGUGCUCGAAAGAGAACCAGUACACAGGUGCUGCAUGGCUGUCGUCAGCUCGUGUCGUGAGAUGUUGGGUUAAGUCCCGCAACGAGCGCAACCCUUGUCAUUAGUUGCUACGAAAGGGCACUCUA